AAGGUCCUAGCUUAGUUAAAGCACCUGGGUUGCAUUCAGGAGAUGUAGGUUAAUACCCUACGGGUCUUA
rnacentral:tRNA from 1 species